rnacentral:rRNA from 1 species
CCUACGGGUGGCAGCAGUGAGGAAUAUUGGUCAAUGGCCGAGAGGCUGAACCAGCCAAGUAGCGUGAGGGAAGACGGCCCUACGGGUUGUAAACCUCUUUUGUCGGGGAAUAAAGAGAGCCACGUGUGAAUCUUUGAGAGUACCCGAUGAAUAAGCAUCGGCUAAUUCCGUGCCAGCAGCCGCGGUAAUACGGAGGAUGCGAGCGUUAUCCGGAUUUAUUGGGUUUAAAGGGAGCGUAGGCGGGUCUUUAAGUGAGCCGUGAAAUUUUGUGGCUCAACCCUGGUACUGCGGUGGGAACUGGAUCCCUUGAGUGCGCGGGAGGCAGGCGGAAUGCGUGGUGUAGCGGUGAAAUGCAUAGAUAUCACGAAGAACCCCGAUUGCGAAGGCAGCAUGCCGGCUCGUAACUGACGCUGAUGCUCGAAAGCGUGGGUAUCGAACAGGAUUAGAUACCCUUGUAGUC